ensembl:lncRNA
UGGGCACAGGUCAAGCCGCUGGGCACGGCAGGGAACACAGGUCAACCGCGGGCUUCCCAGCUGACGUGAUCAGGCAGACAGACUUUAAAUGGCUGAACGAAUGGAUGUCAAGUCAAUGAUCAUGUCACGAUCCUCAGGCAGAAGAGGUGCCUCCCGCUCCCACAAUGCUGUCUGGGGUCGGACCCUGAGUGGUGUCAUCUCCUGUAAUACCCAGACAGCCUCCAACCUCUUUGUCAUUUUAAGGCGGACCAGACUAUGGAAAUUAUUUUUGACAAAAAGCAAAUUCGAGCAAUUUUCUUAUUUGAGUACAAAAUGGGUCGUAAAAGCAGCAGAGACAAUUGGCAACAUCAACAAUACAUCUGGCCCAGGAAUGCACAGUGCAAUGGUGAUUCAAGAAGUUUUGCAAAGGAGAUGAGAGGCUUGAAGGUGAGGAGUGCAGUGGCUGGCCAUCGAAAGGUGACAACAACCAAUUGAGAACAGUCAUUGAAGCUGAUCCUCUUAUAACUACACCCAAAGUUGCCAAAGAACUCAACCAUUCUACAGUUGUUCGGCAUUUAAAGUAAAUUGGAAAGGUGAAAAGGCUUGGUAAGUGGGUGCCUCAUGAGCUGACUGCAAAUCAAAAUAAUCAUCAUUUUGAAGUAUCAUCUUUUCUUAUUCUAUGCAACAACAGCAAACCAUUUCUCAAUUGGGAUUGUGACCUGCAAUGAAAAAUGAACUGCAUACAACAACCAGCAAUGACCAGCUCAGUGGCUGGACUGAGAAGAAGCUCCAAAGCACUUCCCAAAGCCAAACUUGCACCAAAAAAAGGUCAUGGUCACUGGUGGCCUGCUGCUGGUCUGAUCCACUGCAGCUUUCUGAAUCCUGAAUCCUGGUGAAACCAUUAUAUCUGAGAAGUAUGCUCAGCAAAUCAAUGAAAUCACCAAAAACUGCAGCUGGUAUCUGUCAACAGAAAGGGCCCAGUUCUUCUCCAUGACAACAUCCGACCAAAGGUUGCACAACCAAAAGUUGAAGAAAUUGGGCUAUGAAGUUUUGCGUCACCCACCAUAUUCACCUGACCUUGGCCAACCGACUACUACUUCUUCAAGCAUCUUGACAACUUUUUGCAGGAAAAACACCUCCACAACCAGCAGGAUGCAGAAAAUGCUUCCCAAGAGUUCGUAAAAUUCUGAAACAUUGAUUUUUAUGCUACGGGAAUAAGCAAACUUAUUUCUAGUUGGCAAAAAUGUGUUGAUUGUAAAGUUUCCUGUUUUGAUUAAUAAAGAUGUGUU